rnacentral:miRNA from 1 species
CAGUCGUACCAUAUGAGAUAUC